GGCUUUGGACCUUUCAGACCCUAUGUAUCAUUUUUCAUCUACUGAGCUUCUCACAGUUGUGCAAAAUGAAAAUGGGAGUAAAAAGAAAUAAAAAAAAAAAAAAAAGAAUAUAAAUAGAAUACACAUAUUCACCCAAUAAAAUUUUAGGAAAAAAUGUAGCAGAGUCUGACUCUUUGCCCCAAAAUUAUUUGUCACCAGAGCCAUCAAUUUUAGAGACUGAUGUAUGAUACAUCCUUUGUAUGUUUUUUUUAAAGGAGUUCAACCAAAAGCAUAUACAGGAAAAAGAGCAAACAUUAAACAAUGAGCCUGUAAAGGUAAUAUCUGCCAAAUUCCUUCACUGCUGGCUGGAAUGCUGCUGAAGUCUGGUAUUGCUGUUACAUUCCAUGCAGAGAAGCAAUUCUUCAGGUCUUCUGACAAUGCAGUGACCUCAAGACAACAUUUCUGGAACUGUUACAGAAAAGUCUUGCAACCAUAAUAAAUGUCUUCAAUUUUUAUUUUUCUUUAAAGGCUGAAAAAACCCUCACCUUGCUUUACUAAAGAGAAAUACUGAGAGGUGCUGAAAAACCUCUUCCAGCUGACUGUUUGCUGAGAAAUGUAACCUUCCUAAAUCCUACCUUCAGGUUGAAGUUGACAAGAAGAUCUGCAGAAAAUUUACCAUUUUAUCUAGGGAGCUGCAGCUCAGUGGAAUAUAAUAGUUUUCUACAUGAAUUUACAGCACAUCAGUCGUCAGAGAUAGAUAACUUGGUAGGAGUCCAGCAAGCUCAAUUAUUCAGCGUGUCUGAAGUACCAGAGGACGACAGGAAAGACAAGCACAGAUGCUGCUCUUUAAGUGACUUAUGCUGACAUGGAUUGCUUUCUUACUUAGAGUGUUGAACCGGGGAGGCAACUUCCAGGUCCCAGCAGCAGGGGUUUUAGAAGACUGAUGUACACUUGGUAAAAAAAGUAAUCUUGUUUGGCCAUAAUUGUCUCUGAAAGGAAGUGCUGGAAUGCUCUGAGCUGAAACCUUUUUUGGCAGACAAGGGUGAGCCAGUUUGAAGAAAUGGAAUUACAGAAGAUGAGAUCACCAGGUUAGAGAGGAGUAAUUUGAAGUCAUCAUUGUUGAAGCUGCUGUGGUAAUGGUAAUAAGAAAAGAAGAAUGAUUUGUUUGGGUAAAAAUUCUGAUAUCAUAUGUAAAUGGUGAUGCCUUGACAUUUGGUACUUUUACAAUUGGCCUGAAGUGUAAAUGCAACUAUCAAAGUAAAUCCACAUUGUCUUCAGGUUGAAGUGCUGUUUUAAUUUUACUUCAAUUUUUUAUUUAGCUUAUUAAAAUUAAGAAUGGUUCUUCAAGAAAUCCUCAAGAACAAUUUACUGAAGAAACAAACAAAUAUGGAUAAAUAUAUUUCCAUCAAAUAAGACAGAUGGGGACAGUGCACCUGUUUUACAGUUACAUAAAUGAAUAACUGAGGCCAACUCAUUUGAGCCUUGUUCAGAAGUGAGUGAAAUUCUUAAUUUUGAGUAUUCUGAGGUUUUUGUUUCAGGAAACCACAAAGCAUUUGCUAGCUUCAAAAUGAAAAAUCUGUGGGGGUUUGCUUGCAAAUGAUUAAUUGCAGGGUAAAUACAUGUCUGUAUGUUGCCUACAGAUACAGUGUGUGCUUCUAAAUAUCUUAGGAAUGCUAAAAUACAUACAGCUUCAAUAAGGCCAUCUACCAUGCAGUGAUUCAAUGCCACAGUGUUCCAUCCUUUAUUUGAACAUGUAAUUGCAUUGUUCUUCAUAUAUUAGAAUCCUUGCUUAUAAUAAUUGAUUGUGAUAAUACAGUGAAUUAACCCUAGUCACUGUUCUAUUUAACCAUUUUAUUUGAAUGUCAGGUGUGCAGGUAAGUCAUCUAGUUAACUGGAAGUUUGAUAACCUAAUGUAAUAUCUUUGACAUCAGAGAUCAGAUGAAAUCUUUUAUGUGUCAUUGGCUCUGAGAAUCUGCUUGGGCAGAUGGUGUUGGUUUUGUAAGGCAGACAUACAUUGCCUGGAGAAUUUCAGAGAAAUAUGGGCAUUAUUUUCAAACUCCAGUAAAGGAGAAAGGUGUCAUUUCACUGACAGCCCCAGAGAAUAUUUCCCUACUAUUGCAUGCUUGACAGAUGCCAUGAACAGAUUGAUGUGCAGAAAAAGGAAAGGUACAAGGAAACCGUACAUUAAAACUCAUUAACUUUAGAUAGCAAAACUCUGUUGGGAGCAACUCCAGAGCAUUUUUUGAUGUACAGUGUAUGUUUAACAUUCUAAAUAUAUGUGCUAUUUAAUGUGUUGGGACUGCAUUUACAUAUUUGGUGUAAAUAUGAAUGAAAAUGAAAACAGUGACAAGAUAAACACAAGAGAAAAUGCAUCAGUAAAAUGAAUCAUUAAGAAGCUGAAGGAAAAUACAAGAGAUAUUUUUCACGCUCCUAAUUUUAGAUCUAGCAGCAGCUAUAGGUCUGGUGUUUGGAGUGGAUCAUUUGAAUUCCAGUAUUAAUUUUCUUAGAAAAAAACAUUCACUUUUGUUUGUAACAUAGCUGUUAUUUACAAAAACAGGUAUCUACUUCUUAGUACAACCAAACUGUUAUGUACAGCCUUAACUCUUAACACUAGAAAAGGAAUAUGGAAACUUAUUAUCUGUUUUACCCAGUCCUGUGUUGCCUCCUUAUCCCAUUGACUCCUUCUCACAGAUGCAGCAAAUUCCUGUAUUAAUAUUUAUGGUUAAAUUAAUUUUUUAAAUGUUAGGUGUGAUAUGAAUUCUGUAAAAAAAAUAAAACACUGGAUUAUGAUGGUAGAAGUAUUUCAUAAUUAAGAUGGAAUUAAAAUUGUAAUAUUACAUAUACAUAACAAUAAUUACUUCAUUAUAAUAAUUGCUAUUCCUGGCCAUUGAAU